rnacentral:rRNA from 1 species
ACUCAAAGGAAUUGACGGGGGCUCACACAAGCGGUGGAGGAUGUGGUUUAAUUCGAAGCAACGCGAAGAACCUUACCAGGUCUUGACAUACCGGGAUUAAUUCCGUGAAAACGGGAGGAUUGCUCGCAAGAGUGUAACCGGAACAGGUGCUGCAUGGCUGUCGUCAGCUCGUGCCGUGAGGUGUUAGGUUAAGUCCUUUAACGAGCGAAACCCCUGCCACUAGUUACCAGCGAGUAAAGUCGGGGACUCUAGUGGGACUGCCGCGCAAGCUGGAGGAAGGUGGGGACGACGUCAAGUCAUCAUGGCCUUUAUGAUCUGGGCUACACACGUCCUACAAUGGAUGGUACAAAGGGCAGCAAGCAUGCGAAUGCAAGCCAAUCCCCGAAAGCCAUCCUCAGUUCAGAUUGUGGGCUGCAAUUCGCCCACAUGAAGCUGGAAUCGCUAGUAAUCGCGGAUCAGCCACGCCGCGGUGAAUUUGUUCCUGAGCCUUGUACACACCGCCCGU